rnacentral:SRP_RNA from 1 species
GCCACGCAUGGUGGCCCAUGCCUGUAGUCUCAGCUACUCAGGAGGCUGAGGUGGGAGGAUCGCUCGAACCCAGAGUUCUGGGCUGCAGUGCGCUAUGCCAAUGAAGUGUUUGCACUAAGUUCAGCAUCAAUAUGGUGGCCUCCCGGGAGCAGGGGAACACCAGGUUGCCUAAGGAGGGGUGAACCAGUCCAGGUUUCUGAUCAAUAGUGGGAUAGUGCCCGUGAAUAGCCACUGCACUCCAGCCUGGGCAACAUAGCAAGACCCUGUCUCUU